UACGAAGGGUGCAAACGUUGCUCGGAAUUAUUGGGCGUAAAGCGCACGUAGGCGGCUUUUCAAGUCCCAUGUGAAAGCCCACGGCUUAACCGUGGAAGUGCAUGGGAAACUGGAAAGCUUGAGUACUUAAGAGGAUCGCGGAAUUCCCGGUGUAGAGGUGGAAUUCGUAGAUAUCGGGAGGAACACCAGUGGCGAAGGCGGCGAUCUGGGAAGAUACUGACGCUGAGGUGCGAAAGCGUGGGGAGCAAACAGG
rnacentral:rRNA from 1 species